rnacentral:lncRNA from 1 species
GUCAAAUCCAUGCAGUUCCAAGGAACAACGGGAUUCCAAAGAACAGUCUGGUUCCCAAGGGAACGGGACCAAAGGUUGAUCAACACACUUCCAAGGGACAGUCUUUUCCCAAGGGAGUCAGGCUGAAGCCUGCACACGUAUAGUUCUGAUGAUAGUCCAGAAGUCAGACCAAAAGCUAAGCAAUUUCAGUUGAAACAGUCUGGUUCCAAAAGGAAUUGGACCAAAGGCUAGCAUAGUUCAAAGGAAUAGCCUGAUUCAAAGGGUUAGGCUGAAGUGCCACCCAAGUGCUUACAGACAAACAAGCCCUUAACCAGAAAAGGACGAAGACUUGAAAUAGAUCUUGACUACAGCCUGGAGAGCCUCCAAUAGGGUGGAAGCUUGGAUCCAGAAAAGACUUACCUUCAAACUCCAGGGCUGACAAGAAAAGCAGCGAGCUCAAUGAGCUCUCUUGUGGGUACCACAGCAGUUUGCUCACCAGCCUUGGAGGCCUUGGGGGUCUUCCCUGGAUUCCCACAUGGACCACCAAAAUAUUGACUUUAAACAAAUAGACAACCAGUUAUUUCUCCAGAAAAAGUGGGUUUAUUCAGGAUCAGUAAAGAAUUGCAACUGAGCGUCUGCAACCGUGGUGAGCCACGUAGAAAGCAGCUGCAAUGGAAAGAACACGGAUGACAAAGGCAAUGUGGACACAGAGCACUCUUACAGACAGCAAGCUCUUCACGCCAAAGAGCACUCCUGGGAUUUCCAAUGGGAGAUACUUAAUCCCAGAGAAGUUAUGAAAUUUGCUCAUAAACUUAACAAAAUGAACACAGCAGAUGAAACAGAGAGGAAGAGUUCGAUUCUGUACACCAGAGUCUGAGUUUCAAUGCUGCAGGGGACUUUGGGAAGUUUUAAUACAGUAUCUUAAUAUUUAGAAGAAGAAAUUGAGACCCAGGAAGGCUAAGUGGCCAAAUCAAAGGUGACAGAGCACAACUGGUCCCUUAGGAGCUCAGUGGUCGUGAGGAGUCUUUUCUUCAGCAGCAGGUAAAAUGUAUUUGGGCCUGGGCGACAUCAACUGGAAACCUGACAAGGCUGCUAAAUGGUCACGGGCCUUGGAAAAGUUAUUGAACAG